rnacentral:ribozyme from 12 species
AAAACGCCGCGUCACACAUACGGCACGUGUACAAAAACGACACUGCAGACUGGAGAAUGGAUGUUGCAAGCUCCUCGAGCGUUCUUUCGAGAAUGAUGGUACCGACAGUAUUCGUCGAAAUGACGGUCCAAAAGGAGGCGACG